rnacentral:sRNA from 1 species
ACGCAAUAGGGAUAGUAGUGGAAAUCCUUUUUAUGAAGAGCCUGCGAUGGGAAAGGAGGGACGGAUCUUUAUAAAAAGAUUGCAACGGAUAGCCCGGCCCCGC